GACGGAGGAUGCAAGUGUUAUCCGGAAUCACUGGGCGUAAAGCGUCUGUAGGUGGUUUAAUAAGUCAACUGUUAAAUCUUGAGGCUCAACUUCAAAAUCGCAGUCGAAACUAUUAGACUAGAGUAUAGUAGGGGUAAAGGGAAUUUCCAGUGGAGCGGUGAAAUGCGUAGAGAUUGGAAAGAACACCAAUGGCGAAAGCACUUUACCGGGCUAUUACUGACACUGAGAGACGAAAGCUAGGGUAGCAAAUGGG
rnacentral:rRNA from 1 species